GUCAGUGGCAACCAGAGACAGUACAACACGCAUCCUCUGUACAGCCAGUGUUCAGUGUCGCUAUAUUACGGCUGUCAUUAUUCCCCUAUAAUGAUAAUCCCUCUCACCCUCGCUAGUGUUCUGUCCUGAGCUGGCUAAACCACAGUCUAAUAUCCCCGGAGCCAUGAAACUGACUGAAAACUGAAGUAAAAUGCAGCUGCUGCGACCUGGAUACGGGGACGCAACGCUCCGCUUCAUAAUGAAAACACUUGGAUAUAAACGCUUCCAUUAUAGCAGGCCACUGGAAAGGUCACCUUUGUUAUGUGCCCAAAAUCUGCCAAGGUCUGUCACUGUGUACAGGUCAUCUGGGCAGAACCUGGGGAACUGAAGACUGUCUGCAAUAAAUGCCAAAGAUAACAUGU